CGAGUGUGCGCGCGUGUGUGCGUGUGUUCUUUUCUCGUUUUACUUGAGCAGCUUGAUGUUGCACAUGAUGAGCUCCUUCCAGUUGACGAAGAUCAUGGCCACUUCCUUCUCCGUCAGCAGCUCGCACUCCAACAGAGGUCGUUGGCGUAGUUCUCCUCGGUGACGAUCAGCUCGUGGAUGUAGCCCUGCCUCUUCCUCUCCAUGGGACUCAGCAUGUCGAGCAGAUGGAGGUCGGCACACCCUGAAACACAAACACCGCACACGCGCGUCAACCAACCAGUGGGGGCAAAAAAAACAAAAACAAACAAACAGCACAAUCCUUUCAUACCUGUAUUAAAACAUGAGCGGCAACAUACAUACCUGAGAACACGAGUGUGAACAGAGGCUCUGCAGGAGUGUUUGAGUCUGUGACACUGUGCAGUGUGAGUGUGUGAAUUAAAGAAGGAUGCAAGUUAUAUAUAUA